CCUCAAGAGUGUGACUCUAUAUUGACAAUCUACACGAAGAACUGCAAAUACAGGAAUAACUUCUUUCUACAACCCUUAAUUGGGGUACCAUGCUUUACACACUAGUGCACUGAAAGAAUUCCUGCCAAGUGGCAAGUGAAGUAAUUUCAUGCUCCCAGGCACCAACCUUGGAGAUCGCUGGAUGAUAGGCUACUCCCCACAAGUUGAUGUGUGAAGAGGAAGUGAAGCCUGAAGAUUAGAAUUUGGAGUGCUUCCAACCUAAACUCUAAAUCACUGGGAAUCUUUCCAAUGGGCUGUGGAUCAGGACCUUAAUCCUCGAGUAGAGGAGUGCUUUGCUUGAGUCAUCUUCACCCAUGAAGUGGAAGAGGUCAAUGUGUCAUGGGAAAAGAGGAAAAUAAGGCACAAAGAUUACCGCCAAGCUAGAGAGAAAAGGAAAGACACAUAAUUGAGGUGAACCCCCAGUGCUUGAAGCCAGGUCCCUGUGCAUAAGUUUACCAGGAGCAGCUCAAGGGGAAGGGACCGGAGGAUCCAAAUAACAGAAAAAGGAUCUGAACAAUUUUCCUGUGUGAAGAGCUUCCCUUCUUCAUGAGAACAGGGAAGACGGGGCCCACAAAGUUCUGCCUGGAGUAACAGAAAGCCAUUUUCUCACAUCCCAGGGCAGAAAAUGGCACCAGAACGUCAGAAGAAAAGGAGAAUUUACCAUGAAAGGACCCCUGUGAUGAAUCACUUCAUUUGGUGGUUAAAGCUCAUUUAAAGGGAUCAGACUCUCCAGAACAAAGACUGAGACAUAUUUUCCACUAUAUUCUAACACACAUUUGCCUCCUUCCCCCUAAAAUUGUUACAGAAGACUAUUUUUCCACUUAAAUUUUGACACGUGCAAGGUGGCCAGCAAGCAAUAUUUUCCCAAGUUUGAGAUGAUUAGGAAAAUUAUGUUGAGAUAUGGGACUCAAGAACAAAGUGACAAUCAUAUUUGGAAAGUUCUACUGCUUUUUGUCAUCACCUAUCUCAAAAAUGGCUUGUGUUAGAAAUUUCAAAUUAGAUACAUUUGAAAGACCUUGGAAGCUCUAAUGGACAGGAACAUUUCUGGAAAUAUAUUUACUAGCAAAUCAGGUAAGCCAGCUGGAAUGUAAGGUUCCAGCAGACUUUAAAAGUCCCCAAAUAAUUGGAGCAGCUCCUGAACUGUCACUAAAGCAAAAGUAGUAGAGUCUGUUUCAUUUCUUACUAAUGAAGACCAUUGACCAAAGUAUAAGACAAUUGCUAUGGAACUCUAUGUAUUUGGAUUUAUAAUCAUAAAUAUUCUUGGGAAGCCCUUACAUCAUGUAAUGUUCAUAAUACAUAUUUUAACAUUUGGCUCAUCCCACUCCUACAAGUUAAGAAAUGUCACAACUCACUCCUGCCGUACACUAUAGUUCCAAAUACAGCUACUGCUUCAUGACUUCUUCUCCUUUACCCCACUCCACAAAGUGGACAGGCACCAGGGGAAUUUUAUUCCCAAUAUACUCCUGCCACUCUAGUAUCUAAGUGCCUCAGAGUCAUAAACAGAUUUUAUCCUCAUAACAGCCCUUUAAGAUCGGAAAGUUAUCAUUUCCUGUUGUACUCAUGAGGAACUGAGGCAUGGGGUUGAUUUUCCCAAGGAAGUGUGUGGUAAAAUCAGGAACUGAACACAGAUCUCCAGAGUCCCAGUUCAAUACCCUACCUACUACACCAACCUUCCCACCUGCGGCAGUGCUGUCAAUGCCCUUGCCCUACUACCUGAGUCAACACAGUUUUCAUCAAUUACUUCCUGAGGAAAUGAAGUCUCAGUAAGGGGAAGUCUCUAAGAUCUUUGUGGAAACUCCAAAAAAAAUGACCCUCUCUUUGUGAGAAUCUGAGACAUUGCCAUUUCCACGUCACUGAGUCUGACGCAUUAGGCCUCAUCCUCUUUUCAGCAGUAGCCUUGUCUCAGUGGAAAAGACAGAAACAUACUGAUGCUGCUGACCUUCUACUGUAAUGUUCCCUGAAGGGAACAGGUUGAACAUACGACAGUUUUGUCUUCAGCCACCAGAAUGGGGAGGGCUGCUAGCAAUAAAACUUUACAACUUCCCAAGCUGGGUGUAGGAAUCUAAAAUAUCACAUGCACCCAACUCAUGAAGUAUAUGCUUUCCUGUGUUGAUGGGACUUGAUCCCAGCAGUGGAGAAAGAAAAGGAAAGUAAUCAGGGUCAAGAAAAUUAAGAAUAAUAGAAUAUAUGAUUUUCAUAAAUUUACAAAAUUUCUAUUCUGUCUC